GCAUAUCAAUAAGCGGAGGAAAAAGAAACUAACAAGGAUUCCCCUAGUAACUGCGAGUGAAGCGGGAAAAGCUCAAAUUUAAAAUCUGGUGGUCUUUGGCCAUCCUAGUUGUAAUCUAGAGAAGUGUUACCCGCGUCGGACCGUGUAUAAGUCUCCUGGAAUGGAGCGUCAUAGAGGGUGAGAAUCCCGUCUUUGACACGGACUACCGAGGCUUUGUGGUGCGCUCUCAACGAGUCGAGUUGUUUGGGAAUGCAGCUCAAAAUGGGUGGUAAAUUCCAUCUAAAGCUAAAUAUUGGCGAGAGACCGAUAGCGAACAAGUACCGUGAGGGAAAGAUGAAAAGAACUUUGGAAAGAGAGUUAAACAGUACGUGAAAUUGCUGAAAGGGAAACGCUUGAAGUCAGUCGCGUUGGCCGGAAAUCAGCCUUGCUUUUGCAUGGUGUACUUUCUGGUUGACGGGCCAGCAUCAGUUUUGACCGGUGGAAAAAGUUCAAGGGAAUGUGGCAUCUUCGGAUGUGUUAUAGCCCUUGUUCGUAUACAUCGGUUGGGACUGAGGAACUCAGCACGCCGAAAGGCCGGGUCUUUGACCACGUUCGUGCUUAGGAUGCUGGCAUAAUGGCUUUAAUCGACCCGUCUUGAAACACGGACCAAGGAGUCUAACAUGCCUGCGAGUGUUUGGGUGGAAAACCCGGACGCGCAAUGAAAGUGAAAGUUGAGAUCCCUGUCAUGGGGAGCAUCGACGCCCGGACCAGAAGUUCUCUGACGGCCCUGCGGUAGAGCAUGUAUGUUGGGACCCGAAAGAUGGUGAACUAUGCCUGAAUAGGGUGAAAGCCAGAGGAAACUCUGGUGGAGGCUCGUAGCGAUUCUGACGUGCAAAUCGAUCGUCAAAUUUGGGUAUAGGGGGCGAAAGACUAAUCGAACCAUCUAGUAGCUGGUUCCUGCCCGAAG
rnacentral:rRNA from 1 species